CUCGUAGGUGGCCAACUAAGUCAGACGUGAAAUCCCUCAGCUUAACUGGGGAACUGCGUCUGAUACUGGAUGGCUUGAGAUUGGGAGAGGGAUGCGGAAUUCCAGGUGUAGCGGUGAAAUGCGUAGAUAUCUGGAGGAACACCGGUGGCGAAGGCGGCAUCCUGGACCAACACUGACACUGAGGAGCGAAAGCCAAGGGGAGCAAAACG
rnacentral:rRNA from 1 species